AAAAAGAAAAACUCUGGUUUUCAUGUCCAACGUUUGACCAUCCGUCUUAUUUGAAAAAAUUAUGAAAAAAAUUAAAAAGACAAGUCACACAUAAAAUAUUAAUCAUGUUUUAUCAUCUAACAACAAUGAAAAUACGAAUUAUAAAAAAAAAUUCAUAUAAGACAGACAGUAAAUGUUAGACACGGAAAUCAGGGUUUGCUUUUUCU
rfam:Oryza glumipatula chromosome 3, whole genome shotgun sequence.